rnacentral:rRNA from 1 species
AGAGUUUGAUCCUGGCUCAGGAUGAACGCUAGCGGCAGGCCUAACACAUGCAAGUCGAGGGAGAAGCCUUCGGGCUGAAACCGGCGCACGGGUGCGUAACGCGUAUACAAUCUGCCUUUCACAUAGGGAUAGCCCGAAGAAAUUUGGAUUAAUACCUAAUGGUAUAUAGGAGCGGCAUCGUUUUUAUAUUAAAGCUACGGUGGUGAAAGAUGAGUAUGCGUUCUAUUAGCUAGUUGGAGAGGUAACGGCUCCCCAAGGCGACGAUAGAUAGGGGUUCUGAGAGGGAUGUCCCCCACACUGGUACUGAGAUACGGACCAGACUCCUACGGGAGGCAGCAGUGAGGAAUAUUGGACAAUGGUCGGAAGACUGAUCCAGCCAUGCCGCGUGCAGGAUGACGGCCUUAUGGGUUGUAAACUGCUUUUGUAAGGGAAGAAUAAGGGCUACGCGUAGUUUGAUGACGGUACCUUAUGAAUAAGCAUCGGCUAACUCCGUGCCAGCAGCCGCGGUAAUACGGAGGAUGCGAGCGUUAUCCGGAAUCAUUGGGUUUAAAGGGUCCGUAGGCGGGCUAAUAAGUCAGAGGUGAAAGCGUUCAGCUCAACUGAGCAACUGCCUUUGAAACUGUUAGUCUUGAAUGAUUGUGAAGUAGUUGGAAUGUGUAGUGUAGCGGUGAAAUGCUUAGAUAUUACACAGAACACCGAUAGCGAAGGCAUAUUACUAACAAUUGAUUGACGCUGAUGGACGAAAGCGUGGGGAGCGAACAGGAUUAGAUACCCUGGUAGUCCACGCUGUAAACGAUGGAUACUAGCUG